ACUUUUACUUGACCUUUCCGAAAGUCGGUACAUCAAUGUUGAAAUGUUAUUUAACAACGGCAUUUAAACCGUACAUAUGUACAUGUACAUACAUAAAUUGGAUACACUACACUUUUAAAUGGGGUGUAGCAAAGCUCAGUAGCGUUGUCAAUAAUACAAGUUCAUCUUGUACCCAUUCAAAACCGGUAGCGUCACCCCAUCUGGUUCCCGCCGUUUACCAUCACAAUGCUAAGUGACGCCAUUCAUUCGUGCGUCCAGACCAACAUUUUGUUUACUUUUCCCAUUUAGCUGUGCGAAUUAGAAUAAAGUUUGCUGAAAUAAAGAGCUUAAACCCAAUGAAAAACAGGAGAAUCAUAGUU
ensembl:ncRNA lncRNA:CR44814 long non-coding RNA:CR44814